rnacentral:rRNA from 1 species
AAGGUGGGUAUGUUAAUAGCAUACUCAUUUGACGUUUAGCUGCAGAAGAAGCACCGGCUAACUCCGUGCCAGCAGCCGCGGUAAUACGGAGGGUGCGAGCGUUUAAUCGGAAUUACUGGGCGUAAAGCGCAUGCAGGUGGUUUGUUAAGUCAGAUGUGAAAGCCCGGGGCUCAACCUCGGAAUUGCAUUUGAAAACUGGCAAACUAGAGUACUGUAGAGGGGGUAGAAUUUCAGGUGUAGCGGUGAAAUGCGUAGAGAUCUGAAGGAAUACCGGUGGCGAAGGCGGCCCCCUGGACAGAUACUGACACUCAGAUGCGUAAAAGCGUGGGGAAGCUAAACCAGGAUUAGAUACCCUCGGUAG